rnacentral:lncRNA from 1 species
CGAUAAAGAGAGGAUUUAUCAUAUAGUUCUUAAAUAUGUUCACGAUCAAAUGAUACGUCAUUACAUGAUGAUGACAUUUAUCGAGUGGAGGUCAUUCUAUAUCAUAUAGGUUGGUUGUCCUCUUGACCAAGGAGUGUGGUGACACUGGUAUGGCAUACAGGUGAGAUAUAGGGGUACAUCAUCACUGAACAAGUGACUCACCUACUGAGCAUUCUGCUGUCAAGAGCUACUCGCGAAAUACAUAGAUAUAAGUAUCCUUUAGACCUAAGAUCGGUAUAGUAAUUUGCAAGUAACUUAUUAUGCUUUAGUGCUGGACUACUUUGAUUUCUAAUGCAGUGACAGAAGGCUACUAGGUACAGUCAAGUACUUACGAAGUCUGUGUGGAUCAAGAUGAGAUUGACCCCUCUGGAUUAUUAGAG